rnacentral:rRNA from 1 species
UACGUAGGGUGCGAGCGUUGUCCGGAAUUAUUGGGCGUAAAGAGCUCGUAGGCGGUUUGUCGCGUCUGCUGUGAAAACUCGGGGCUUAACCCCGGGCCUGCAGUGGGUACGGGCAGACUAGAGUGCGGUAGGGGAGACUGGAAUUCCUGGUGUAGCGGUGAAAUGCGCAGAUAUCAGGAGGAACACCGGUGGCGAAGGCGGGUCUCUGGGCCACUACUGACGCUGAGAAGCGAAAGCAUGGGGAGCGAACAGG